UACCAGCUCUCCGAGUUGUAGGGACGAUUAUUGGGCUUAAAGCGUCCGUAGCCGGCUUAGCAAGUCUCCUGUUAAAUUCAGCGACCUAAUCGUUGAGCCGCGGGAGAUACUACUAGGCUAGGAGGCGGGAGAGGUCAACGGUACUUUCGGGGUAGGGGUGAAAUCCUAUAAUCCCGGGAGGACCACCAGUGGCGAAGGCUGUCGACUAGAACGCGCUCGACGGUGAGGGACGAAAGCCGGGGGAGCGAACCGGAUUAGAUACCCGGGUAGUCCCAGCUGUAAACGAUGCGGGCUAGGUGUUGGGGUGGCUACGGGCCACUUCAGUGCCGCAGGAAAGCCAUUAAGCCCGCCGCCUGGGGAGUACGGCCGCAAGGCUGAAACUUAAAGGAAUUGGCGGGGGAGCACCACAAGGCGUGAAGCUUGCGGUUC
rnacentral:rRNA from 1 species